UACGUAGGGUGCAAGCGUUGUCCGGAAUUAUUGGGCGUAAAGAGCUCGUAGGCGGUUUGUCGCGUCUGCUGUGAAAACCCGAGGCUCAACCUUGGGCUUGCAGUGGGUACGGGCAGACUAGAGUGCGGUAGGGGUGACUGGAAUUCCUGGUGUAGCGGUGGAAUGCGCAGAUAUCAGGAGGAACACCGAUGGCGAAGGCAGGUCACUGGGCCGCAACUGACGCU
rnacentral:rRNA from 1 species